rnacentral:rRNA from 1 species
GGGUUGUGAGGUUAAGCGACUAAGCGUACACGGUGGAUGCCCUGGCAGUCAGAGGCGAUGAAGGGCGUACUAAUCUGCGAUAAGCGCCGGUAAGGUGAUAUGAACCGUUAUAACCGGCGAUACCCGAAUGGGGAAACCCAGUGUGAUUCGUCACACUAUCAUUAACUGAAUCCAUAGGUUAAUGAGGCGAACCGGGGGAACUGAAACAUCUAAGUACCCCGAGGAAAAGAAAUCAACCGAGAUUCCCCCAGUAGCGGCGAGCGAACGGGGAGGAGCCCAGAGCCUGAAUCAGCAUGUGUGUUAGUGGAAGCGUCUGGAAAGGCGCGCGAUACAGGGUGACAGCCCCGUACACAAAAGCGCAUGUGCUGUGAGCUCGAUGAGUAGGGCGGGACACGUGGUAUCCUGUCUGAAUAUGGGGGGACCAUCCUCCAAGGCUAAAUACUCCUGACUGACCGAUAGUGAACCAGUACCGUGAGGGAAAGGCGAAAAGAACCCCGGCGAGGGGAGUGAAAAAGAACCUGAAACCGUGUACGUACAAGCAGUGGGAGCACCCUUUGGGUGUGACUGCGUACCUUUUGUAUAAUGGGUCAGCGACUUAUAUUCUGUAGCAAGGUUAACCGAAUAGGGGAGCCGGAGGGAAACCGAGUCUUAACCGGGCGUUAAGUUGCAGGGUAUAGACCCGAAACCCGGUGAUCUAGCCAUGGGCAGGUUGAAGGUUGGGUAACACUAACUGGAGGACCGAACCGACUAAUGUUGAAAAAUUAGCGGAUGACCUGUGGCUGGGGGUGAAAGGCCAAUCAAACCGGGAGAUAGCUGGUUCUCCCCGAAAGCUAUUUAGGUAGCGCCUCGUGAAUUCAUCUCCGGGGGUAGAGCACUGUUUCGGCUAGGGGGCCAUCCCGGCUUACCAACCCGAUGCAAACUGCGAAUACCGGAGAAUGUUAUCACGGGAGACACACGGCGGGUGCUAACGUCCGUCGUGAAGAGGGAAACAACCCAGACCGCCAGCUAAGGUCCCAAAGUCAUGGUUAAGUGGGAAACGAUGUGGGAAGGCCCAGACAGCCAGGAUGUUGGCUUAGAAGCAGCCAUCAUUUAAAGAAAGCGUAAUAGCUCACUGGUCGAGUCGGCCUGCGCGGAAGAUGUAACGGGGCUAAACCAUGCACCGAAGCUGCGGCAGCGACACUGUGUGUUGUUGGGUAGGG